AGGUCAACUGUGUUUAGCAUUCCCUUCUGCUCUUUCUCACGGGUGCUACUUUUACACUUUGCUCUCCUACCUGCUUAGGAGCCACGUCAAAGAAUGUGUAUUUGAAUUUUGUUUCAUCUGAAGUUAAUCAAAGGAAAUUAUCUAGCCCCCUUUCUUAAAAUGUAUUUUAAACCCACAGCCUAGUUUCAGAACGACAACUUAGAAGACUGUGGAGUUUCCAUAUCGAAGACCCUAGCUAUGGAUGGCUUUCCACCCUGGAUAAUCUGUGUCGGUAUUUUUACAGCAUCAAAGGUCUGCACCAAAUAGGAAUUAAAACUGUCACCGUCGUGCGUGAAGAGACACUUUCAAGUCGUGCGUUAAGUCAGAGUCUUGAUGCGUCUCUAAGGGAAACACAGCCCAUUAGAAAACACGCUCACUUUUUAGAGACUACAAGCAGCAUAUUCCUAAUUUUGUCAUUUGGCAGAAAAAUGAAAUAUUUUUCUCCCCUUCUUCAGCAGCAAGGAAAACCCAAAUGUUUUUCUCCGAACAAAACAAGUGAAGACCAUUGUAGGUUGUGUUUCUGUUAGGAAAGAGCUUGCAAGCAUCAGACAUCAGGUUAAAGCAGCGGAGACAUGAGCUCUCUUCGGUGGGAUGCAAGGUCGUGACACCCUGGACCGCCUGCAUACAUCAGGAGCACCUCUCGAGCUACUAGUGACCUCCAUCCAAUUGGUGUAUUUUAAUGAAAACAAAUGGUUUGCAUCAAUAACAAAAAGCACGAGCAGAACCAUCCUUCAUGGACACCUUUGUCACUCUCUCCCCGUCUAGACACUUAUUAACGGUUUGACCUUUAUAGCCGAUGUUUUAUUGUCCUAAUAUCUUAUGACUCAAGGACCUCGUGCUGUUUAAUAAGCCAAAUCCAACGAGAGGGGGGCUUUGGCCGCUUA
rnacentral:lncRNA from 1 species